UCUCCGUUGGUGAACCAGCGGAGGGAUCAUUACAGGACUCGCAAGACUCCUUCACCCUGUGAACCUCACUACAAGCACGUUGCUUCGGCGGUGUCCCGGCGGGGGUUUUCCCUCGCCGGGGCGCACAGCCCGCCGGCAGCCUACUAUACUCUGUCCCUUUGCGUUGGCAUCUCGAGAAAAAACAAACAAGUUAAAACUUUCAACAACGGAUCUCUUGGUUCUG
rnacentral:misc_RNA from 1 species